rnacentral:sRNA from 1 species
AUUUAAAAUUUGCUAUACUUACAUAGUCUUUCAGCCAUCCAUAUCUUUCUGUUGGCCAGUCGUUUCUUGGAGUCAUUAUCUGCCAAUAGAACCGUGCAUUAAAGUUGUUGGUGUUCAGGCCUUCUUUUUCACUGCAGAAAAAAAAAGGAAUGAGUAAUGAUAGCAUUUAUAUUUGAAGAAAAAAUAGAGACUUACAAAUCAGGUUCGAGCCAAUCCUUCAGCCUAUCAAAUUGGUCAUCAGAAACAGGUUGAAGAUGUUCAGGUACCGAUGAAGACGAUGGUACAUCAGUGAUUAUGCGCUUCACUGUUGAAUUUCCUACAUACGGAUAUUUCUGAGAACCCGCUAGCUGUGGCACUCGUCUCCUCUUACUAGUGAUACCGUCCAAAUUAUCUAGUCCUUCUUGAAGUGCUCUCAAUGCAUCAGCCGUUGCCUUAUUAGCCAUCUGAUCUGUAGGAUUGGAGAAUGUUUCUUCUGAACUUGAAGCCAUUUUCAGAUUGUCUGCAUUAACCUUGUCAGUGACAUCCACAACAUCAUCAUCAAACGUCUUUGUUGUUGGAGCUGCAACAGACUUCUUCUGCAAGGGUUUUGGACUAUCUACCUUCUCUACCUUCACAACUGUCUUCUUCAUUUCAGGUUUUGGUUUUUCUACCUUCUCUACAUUGACAAUUGUCUUCUUCUUAUCAGAUUUUGCAACUU